AUCCAAGCCUCUUCUUUCAAUGGAACCGAUAUCUCCUCCUCUGCACCUCCAUCUCCAGACUCUUCAACGACUGAACCAAACCCAAUCAAAAACGACUCCCCAAAAUUCGUAGUUAGCCAUGUCUUUGGCUUCAAGUAGCUACCCAUCUCUCUACUCUUCACCAUCGUUGCCUAGAGCUACACAAACCAAGAGAAGCCCACUUCUGCACUCUCAAUCCAGGCACUUUUCCUUUAAUGACUGCUCAAUUCAGAGCAGUUCGAGUUAUUUUUACAAUACCGAUUUGAGAAGAUCAUUGAAUUUUGUCGUUAAAGCAUCGGAAACCGAGGAGAAAACAGCAAAACAAGAGAGUGGAAGUGAAGGAGGAGAAGGGGAAGAGGGGAAGUAUGAAGAGUAUGAAGUGGUGUUGGAUCAGCCUUAUGGACUCAUAUUUGCCAAGGGAAGAGAUGGCGGGACUUACAUUGAUGCUAUUGCUCCUGGUGGAUCAGCUGACAAGUCUGGGAAGUUUGAAGUUGGGGACAAAGUACUUGCCACCAGUGCAGUAUUUGGGGAUGAGAUAUGGCCUGCUGCUGAGUAUGGGAGGACAAUGUACACCAUGCGCCAGAGAAUUGGUCCGUUACUCAUGAAAAUGCAGAAAAGAGAUGGGAAGAUGGAGUACACAGGCGAAUUAACAGAAAAGGAGAUUAUCAGAGAGGAGAGAAACUCGGGGGUAAUUAGUAAUAGAGUGAGGGAAAUCCAAAUGCAAAAUUACCUGAGAAAAAAGGAACAGAAGCAAAGCAGAGAGCAGGACCUCCGUGAAGGGCUGCUGCUGUACAAGGAUGCCAAAUAUGAGGAAGCGCGGGAGAAAUUUGAGUCCUUGUUGGGAUCAAAACCAAGUCCGGAUGAAGCUUCAGUGGCAAGUUACAAUGUUGCAUGUUGUUAUUCCAAGCUUAAUCAGAUACAAGCUGGACUUUCCGCGCUUGAUGAGGCCUUGAAGUCAGGAUUCGAAGAUUUUAAGAGAAUCCGGAAUGAUCCUGACCUUGCCAACUUGAGAACAUCUGAAGAAUUUGAAACUCUUAUGAAAAAGUUCGACGAAUCAUUCAUCAAUGAGAAUGCCAUCAAUGCCAUCAAAUCUCUUUUUGGCUUCGGCAAGAAGUAAAGCCAUGAAUCUAUUUCAGAGAUUGAAGUAUCCAAGGCCUAAGGAUUAGGCCGAGCCCUUUGGUGAUUCAUAUAAUUAUUUCCUUUGAGGCAGCCUACCUCACUUGGCACCUCUUCACAUCCAACGGCAACGCGUGGCAUGGGUGGGCAGCGUACUGAUUCAUGUUUCCUACUACUAGUUCAGGUUUCGCUUGAGACAAAUCUGUGAGAAGUAUGACCACAAGCUCGCGGAAUAACCUGGAGAAGCCUUACACGCAACGAGAGGCACAAUUGUUUCACACUGGGCUACCCAGUUUGCUUUCCCUCCGCUAGCAACCCCUCACAUCGCUUGUCUUGGUUGCCGAAACAAACCACUGCUCGCAGCUCUAGCUUGGUACUCUAUCGCCAACUAACCACAUUCCUUUUUUCUGUCAAAAUGCGCUGAUACAAAGCCCUGCACCAGUACAUUAAACCACCCCUAAAUCUGUGGUAUUUUCCCUGUUAAAAAGGAAAAAUGAGAGAUGCAAUUUGUUUUCUACCGUUA